GGAAGGAUCAUUAUUAUGCGCACUACGCGCUGUGGGGGGUUUUGGUUUGGUGGAGAUUGAGAACUCCCUCACAGGAUGAGCUCUCUCCCCGACCAGCCCUUACCGAUAUACCCAUGAUUUUUGCGUACCUAUUGUUUCCUCGGCAGGCUUGCCUGCCAGCAGGACCCUUCUUAAAACCCAUUGCAGUUGCAGUCAGCGUCAGAUAAACUUUUAAUAGUUACAACUUUCAACAACGGAUCUCUUGGUUCUGGCAUCGAUGAAGAACGCAGCGAAAUGCGAUAAGUAGUGUGAAUUGCAGAAUUCAGUGAAUCAUCGAAUCUUUGAACGCACAUUGCGCCCCUUGGUAUUCCAUGGGGCAUGCCUGUUCGAGCGUCAUUUGUACAUUCAAGCCUUGCUUGGUGUUGGGCGUCUUGUCCUGCCUUUUGCGCAUGGACUCGCCUUAAAUCCAUUGGCAGUCGGCAAUCUGGCGUGGGAGCGCAGCACAUUUUGCGCUCCUCCCCGUGUAUUGCGGCGUCCAUGAAGCCUAUAUUCUAGCGCUUGACCUCGGAUCAGGUAGGGAUACCCGCUGAACUUAAGCAUAUCAAUAAGCGGAGGAAAAGAAACCAACAGGGAUUGCCCUAGUAACGGCGAGUGAAGCGGCAACAGCUCAAAUUUGAAAUCUGGCUCUUUUAGAGUCCGAGUUGUAAUUUGCAGAGGGCGCUUUGGCGUUGGCAGCGGUCCAAGUUCCUUGGAACAGGUCGUCACAGAGGGUGAGAAUCCCGUACGUGGUCGCCAGCUUUCGCCGUGUAAAGCCCCUUCGACGAGUCGAGUUGUUUGGGAAUGCAGCUCUAAAUGGGAGGUAAAUUUCUUCUAAAGCUAAAUACUGGCCAGAGACCGAUAGCGCACAAGUAGAGUGAUCGAAAGAUGAAAAGCACUUUGGAAAGAGAGUCAAAUAGCACGUGAAAUUGUUGAAAGGGAAGCGCUUGCAGCCAGACUUGCCUGUAGAUGCUCACCCGAGCUUUUGUUCGGGGCACUCUUCUGCAGGCAGGCCAGCAUCAGUUUGGGCGGUUGGAUAAAGGUCUCUGUCACGUACCUCCUUUCGGGGAGGCCUUAUAGGGGAGGCGACAUGCAACCAGCCUGGACUGAGGUCCGCGCAUCUGCUAGGAUGCUGGCGUAAUGGCUGUAAGCGGCCCGUCUUGAAACACGGACCAAGGAGUCUAACAUCUAUGCGAGUGUUUGGGUGUCAAGCCCGAGCGCGCAAUGAAAGUGAACGGAGGUGGGAUCCCUUAAGGGUGCACCAUCGACCGAUCCUGAUGUCUUCGGAUGGAUUUGAGUAAGAGCAUGGCUGUUGGGACCCGAAAGAUGGUGAACUAUGCUUGAAUAGGGUGAAGCCAGAGGAAACUCUGGUGGAGGCUCGCAGCGGUUCUGACGUGCAAAUCGAUCGUCAAAUUUGGGCAUAGGGGCGAAAGACUAAUCGAACUAUCUAGUAGCUGGUUCCUGC
rnacentral:misc_RNA from 1 species